rnacentral:rRNA from 1 species
GUGCUUAACACAUGCAAGUCGAACGAACCUUCGGGUUAGUGGCGGACGGGUGAGUAACGCGUGAGAAUCUGCCCUCAGGAGGGGGAUAACGGCUGGAAACGGCCGCUAAUACCCCAUAUGCCGCGAGGUGAAAUGAAUUUCGCCUGAGGAUGAGCUCGCGUCUGAUUAGCUAGUUGGUGGGGUAAAGGCCUACCAAGGCAUCGAUCAGUAGCUGGUCUGAGAGGAUGAUCAGCCACACUGGGACUGAGACACGGCCCAGACUCCUACGGGAGGCAGCAGUGGGGAAUUUUCCGCAAUGGGCGAAAGCCUGACGGAGCAACGCCGCGUGAGGGAUGAAGGCCUCUGGGCUGUAAACCUCUUUUAUCAAGGAAGAAGAUCUGACGGUACUUGA